rnacentral:rRNA from 1 species
UACGUAGGGGGCAAGCGUUGUCCGGAUUUAUUGGGCGUAAAGAGCGUGUAGGCGGCCAGGUAGGUCCGUUGUGAAAACUCGAGGCUCAACCUCGAGACGUCGAUGGAAACCAUCUGGCUAGAGUCCGGAAGAGGAGAGUGGAAUUCCAGGUGUAGCGGUGAAAUGCGCAGAUAUCGGGAAGAACACCCGUGGCGAAGGCGGCUCUCUGGUACGGUACUGACGCUGAGACGCGAAAGCGUGGGGAGCGAACAGG